rnacentral:tRNA from 1 species
GCCCGCGUGGUCCAACGGACAAGGCACCGGUCUACGGAACCGGGGAUCGGGGUUCGACUCCCUGCGCGGGUG